rnacentral:rRNA from 1 species
UAGGGAAUCUUCGGCAAUGGACGAAAGUCUGACCGAGCAACGCCGCGUGAGUGAAGAAGGUUUUCGGAUCGUAAAACUCUGUUGUUAGAGAAGAACAAGGACGUUAGUAACUGAACGUCCCCUGACGGUAUCUAACCAGAAAGCCACGGCUAACUACGUGCCAGCAGCCGCGGUAAUACGAAGGUGGCAAGCGUUGUCCGGAUUUAUUGGGCGUAAAGCGAGCGCAGGCGGUUUCUUAAGUCUGAUGUGAAAGCCCCCGGCUCAACCGGGGAGGGUCAUUGGAAACUGGGAGACUUGAGUGCAGAAGAGGAGAGUGGAAUUCCAUGUGUAGCGGUGAAAUGCGUAGAUAUAUGGAGGAACAUCAGUGGCGAAGGCGGCUCUCUGGUCUGUAACUGACGCUGAGGCUCGAAAGCGUGGGGAGCAAACAGG